rnacentral:rRNA from 1 species
AUGAGCCCACCAGACCCACCACUCCCAGUCAAGAACAAGAGGCAAGUAUUCAUUGUUCACUCGAUUGAGACCAAUCAAGCAAUUAUUUUGGCUGCCAACAAAGGCAACCGCAUAAACGACUUGAUUUCACGCCCUGCUGCUAUGGAUUCUGUCUCACAUUGCCUCAGAUGCUUUGUUUGUCCUUCCACAAACCCUCUCUCAAAUCCAUCUGAGCCCAACACUAAUCUGCAGAUUGCACCAAUGGCCACUUUCCCUUUUGAUCCGACCACCUUCAUUCCUCGCAACUUCCAAAGCAUUGUCAUUGAGGCCAGACCGGCUAGGGUUCAUGUUCUGGCUAGAGCGGCACCUGCCACACAUGAAGAGUGGGUGAUUGCAACAAUUGUGCCGAUGCCUAAUCUCCUAGUCCAGUUUGCUACUGUGAGAAUGUUACUUUCUGAUUUUCUGGCUAGAGUUAAGCAUAUGGGUUUUUCUAAAAUUUCCCCAUGCUCUUUCGGGCAAGCAUAUGUCAAGAUGGAUAGUGUCUUUAAUAGAGAUGAGCUGGUGUAG